rnacentral:rRNA from 1 species
CCUACGGGUGGCAGCAGUGAGGAAUAUUGGUCAAUGGGCGGGAGCCUGAACCAGCCAAGUCGCGUGAGGGAAGACGGUCCUAUGGAUUGUAAACCUCUUUAGGCGGGGAGCAAUGCCGGGCACGCGUGCCCGGAGGGAGAGUACCAGCAGAAUAAGCAUCGGCUAACUCCGUGCCAGCAGCCGCGGUAAUACGGAGGAUGCGAGCGUUAUCCGGUUUUAGUGGGUGUAAAGGGUGCGUAGGCGGAUGUUUAAGUCAGCGGUAAAAUGUCCGGGCUCAACCCGGGCCGGCCGUUGAAACUGGUGAUCUUGAGUGGGCGAGAGGUAUGCGGAAUGCGUGGUGUAGCGGUGAAAUGCGUAGAUAUCACGCAGAACUCCGAUUGCGAAGGCAGCAUACCGGCGCCCGACUGACGCUGAGGCACGAAAGCGUGGGGAUCGAACAGGAUUAGAUACCCUUGUAGUC